ACUACCAUUUUGGUUCUUACCGAUUCAUUCUGUCCGUGGAAGAUCGGCCCGUGUAGAGCCGCAAUGUCUUCUAACGGCAUUUCAUCUCCUUCGCGCAACUCCACGAUGGCGUCGGCGAGUACAGGGAGCCGGGUCUCCUGCGGGAGAGAUUUGAAUUGUGUACCCGAGGUGGCGGAUACGCUGGCGGCUGUCGCCAGGCUCGGGUUUGACUUCCUGUGUAUGCCGCUGUUCCACCCACGGUUCCAGAGAGAGUUUGAGUUGGACCCAGCGCGGGGUCGUCAUGGCGCCCACACCCGCUCUGACCUGCUGCUAUGCGGGAGAGACUGGAACACCCUGAUUGUGGGGAAGCUGUCUCCCUGGAUUGAGACCGACUCGGAGGUGGAGACGGAGCGCAAGAACUCUGAGUUGGCGCUGGUGCAGGAGCUGAAUUUCUCCGCGUACCUGGGACUGCCAGCCUUCAUGAUCCCCCUCAGGACCCCCCACUGCGCCAACCUGGCCCGAAUCCUGCUCAAUCACAUCCACACGGGACACCACUCCUGCAUGUUCUGGAUCCGUGUGCCUCUGCUGGCCCCUGAGGACACUCGCGAUGACAUCAUCGACAACGAGCCGGUUAAACACAGCGAUGACGGCAGCACGGACGAGAAAACCUGGGCUUGGUGGCAUUCCUUCAGAACACUGUGUGACUACAACAAGAGGAUCUGCUUGGCCAUUGAAGUUGGAGCAGACAUGCCCUCUGACUCUGUGAUUGACAAGUGGCUCGGGGAACCAAUCAAAGCAGCCAUUCUUCCCACCAGCAUUUUCCUGACCAAUAAGAAAGGGUUUCCUGUCUUGUCAAAGGCACACCAGCGAAUCAUAUUCCGUCUUUUUAAGCUCGAGGCUCAGUUCAUAUUCACGGGUGCGAGCCGGCACAGUGAGAAGGAUUUCCGCUCCUACCUGCAGUACCUGGAGUACCUGAACCAGAACCGCCCCGCCCCCAACUCCUACGAGCUCUUCGCCAGGGGCUACGAGGACUACCUGCAGUCCCCCCUGCAGCCUCUCAUGGAUAACCUGGAGUCUCAGACCUAUGAGGUGUUUGAGAAAGACCCCAUUAAAUACUCCCAGUACCAGCAGGCUGUGUACAAGUGUCUGCUGGACAGAGUGCCAGAGGAGGAGAAGGACACCAACGUGCAGGUGCUGAUGGUUUUGGGGGCCGGGCGGGGUCCCCUGGUGAACGCAUCCCUGCGUGCUGCGAAGCAGGCCGAUCGGAAGCUCCGGGUGUACGCCGUGGAGAAGAACCCUAACGCCGUCAUUACUUUGGAAAACUGGCGGUUCGAGGAGUGGGGCGAUCAGGUGACCGUGGUGUCAUGUGACAUGAGGGAGUGGGCGGCGCCGGAGAAGGCCGACAUCAUCGUUAGUGAGCUGCUGGGGUCCUUCGGGGACAACGAGCUGUCCCCAGAGUGCCUGGACGGAGCACAGCACUUCAUGAAGGAGGAUGGGGUGAGCAUCCCCUGUUCCUACACCUCCUUCCUGGCCCCCCUGUCUUCCUCUAAGUUGUAUAAUGAGGUGCGGGGGUGCAGGGAACGGGACAAGGACCCCGAGUGUCACUUUGAGACUCCCUAUGUGGUGCGGCUGCACAACUUCCACCAGCUGGCUGACCCCAAACCCUGCUUCACCUUCACACACCCCACUACAGAUAUGAAUAAUAACAGGUAUCAGUGCCUGCGGUUCUCAGUGCAGUGCAACUCGGUGCUCCACGGGUUCGCCGGGUACUUCGAGACCACGCUGUACGCAGACGUCACGCUCAGUAUCAAGCCAGAGACUCACUCUCCUGGAAUGUUCUCCUGGUUCCCUAUUCUGUUUCCUCUCAAACAGCCCAUCCCCCUGUCGCGGGGUGAUGAUGUCAGCGUGCGGUUCUGGAGGUGUAAUAAUGGGAAGAAGGUGUGGUACGAGUGGGCCGUGACCGAGCCCGUCUGCUCCGCCAUCCACAACCCAGCCGGCCGGUCCUACACCAUCGGCCUGUAGAGCAACACGCGCACACUCACUCACUCCAUACACACACACUCACUCACUGCACACACACACUGUGCGCACACAAUCACUCACUCCACACACACACUGUGCGCACACACACACACACACUCACUCUCACUCCACACACACACUGUACACACACACACACACACACUCACUCACUCCACACACUCACUGUACACACACACUGUGUGCACCCACACACUCACUCCACACACACUCACUCUCACUGUACACAAACACACACACUCACUGUACACGCAUGCACACUCGCACUCCACACACAAACUCACACUCAUUCCAUACGACACAUACACACACACACACUCACACUCAUUCCAUACGACACACACACACUCACACUCACACAAACUCACACUCAUUCCAUACGACACAUACACACACACAGACAGUCCCUGAUUGAGUGAGAUGAGUAGGUCAGAAGUUGAACCCGAGUGGAGUUUGGGAUGCGGAGAGAUCUGCUCAUUCCGUUGUCAUGGUAACUUUUGAUUUUUCCCCCUCACUUUGUCCCCUGAAAAGAAUAAAGCCUUUGUCAAGUUCAAA